rnacentral:misc_RNA from 1 species
GCGCAUAAUAGUUCAUCGAAGAUUCAUGUCCUGAAAACAUUACUAUGUAUCUGGUUCAUCUGAAAAAUUGACCUACAGCUUGAUAUGAACCAAACUAUGUAAAGACCAGCUUAGUCUCGACUCUUAAAUCAUCGAGUGGUUCUGUAUGCCUUUACACAUCUCAGUAGUUCCCUCGCCUCGCUGUUGUUUCUGAAGUGGUCACGCACAGGCUGCAAAAUUUCAUUCAGAGCUUUUGCAAGAGCUGGCUUUAGAUCGGAAGGAUGCAAUGCACCACUUUCGUAGUCCGCAACUAGUUCUUCCAUUGUGCUAUAUGUCUUGUCUCCACCAUUUUUUUCAACUCGUUUGACCUCAAAAUGACUGAACCACGGGAAAAUGAUG